rnacentral:pre_miRNA from 1 species
CAACUACUCCCUCUGUCCCAAAUUUCUUGUCUUAGAUUUGUCUAGAUACAGAUGUAUCUAAUACUAAAAUGUGACUUGAUACAUCCAUAUCUAGACAAAUCUAAAACAAGAAUUUUGGGACGGAGGGAGUACUUU